UCUACGGGGUAUAGCGUUACUACGGCGAGUGAAGCGGCAAAAGCUCAAAUUUGAAAUCUGGCACCUUCGGUGUCCGAGUUGUAAUUUGAAGAAGGUAACUUUGGAGUUGGCUCUUGUCUAUGUUCCUUGGAACAGGACGUCACAGAGGGUGAGAAUCCCGUGCGAUGAGAUGCCCAAUUCUAUGUAAAGUGCUUUCGAAGAGUCGAGUUGUUUGGGAAUGCAGCUCUAAGUGGGUGGUAAAUUCCAUCUAAAGCUAAAUAUUGGCGAGAGACCGAUAGCGAACAAGUACAGUGAUGGAAAGAUGAAAAGAACUUUGAAAAGAGAGUGAAAAAGUACGUGAAAUUGUUGAAAGGGAAGGGCUUGAGAUCAGACUUGGUAUUUUGCGAUCCUUUCCUUCUUGGUUGGGUUCCUCGCAGCUUACUGGGCCAGCAUCGGUUUGGAUGGUAGGAUAAUGACUAAGGAAUGUGGCUCUACUUCGGUGGAGUGUUAUAGCCUUGGUUGAUACUGCCUGUCUAGACCGAGGACUGCGUCUUUUGACUAGGAUGUUGGCAUAAUGAUCUUAAGCCACCCGUCUGAACCAAGGGAACAAAAAAAAAUAAAUAAGAAAAACCAAAUAGCAUAAUUGAGGUUUUACAAAAAUUGUAGGACGAUUAUUAGGUGAAUCUGUUAUCUGGCAAUGUU
rnacentral:rRNA from 1 species